rnacentral:rRNA from 1 species
AGUGAACGCUGGCGGUAGGCCUAACACAUGCAAGUCGAACGGCAGCACAGUAAGAGCUUGCUCUUACGGGUGGCGAGUGGCGGACGGGUGAGGAAUACAUCGGAAUCUACUUUUUCGUGGGGGAUAACGUAGGGAAACUUACGCUAAUACCGCAUACGACCUACGGGUGAAAGCAGGGGAUCUUCGGACCUUGCGCGAUUGAAUGAACCGAUGUCGGAUUAGCUAGUUGGCGGGGUAAAGGCCCACCAAGGCGACGAUCCGUAGCUGGUCUGAGAGGAUGAUCAGCCACACUGGAACUGAGACACGGUCCAGACUCCUACGGGAGGCAGCAGUGGGGAAUAUUGGACAAUGGGCGCAAGCCUGAUCCAGCCAUACCGCGUGGGUGAAGAAGGCCUUCGGGUUGUAAAGCCCUUUUGUUGGGAAAGAAAAGCAGCAGGUUAAUACCCCGCUGUUCUGACGGUACCCAAAGAAUAAGCACCGGCUAACUUCGG